UGGUUCGAUUAGUCUUUCGCCCCUAUACCCAGUUCAUACGAUCGAUUUGCACGUCAGAAUCGCUACGGACCUCCAUCAGGGUUUCCCCUGACUUCAUCCUGACCAGGCAUAGUUCACCAUCUUUCGGGUCCCAGCGUGUACGCUCUUGGUGCGCCGCAACUUGCAAUAAGUAUGCGACGCCCCGGGAAUGCGAGGUAACAUAAAUAACGUUACCCAUCUUCCCUUUAUAAAAUAUAAUUAUAAAAAUUAUAUAUAUAUUUACUUUCAUUACGCCUUUAGGUUUAUUAUAAAUACCCAAUGACUUGCGCACAUGCUAGAUG
rnacentral:rRNA from 1 species